rnacentral:rRNA from 1 species
GACGUAGGGCGCGAGCGUUGUCCGGAUUUAUUGGGCGUAAAGAGCUCGUAGGCGGCUUGUCGCGUCGGCCGUGAAAACCUGCGGCUCAACUGCAGGCUGGCGGUCGAUACGGGCAGGCUGGAGUUCGGUAGGGGAGACUGGAAUUCCUGGUGUAGAGGUGAAAUUCGUAGAUAUUCGCAAGAACACCGGUGGCGAAGGCGGCGCUCUGGACCGAGACUGACGCUGAGGCGCGAAAGCGUGGGGAGCAAACAGG